rnacentral:rRNA from 1 species
GUUAAAACACCAGUUACCACAAGAUCACCGACGUUAAGCAACGUUGCGCCUGGUCAGUACCUAGAUGGGUGACCGCUUGUGAAUACCAGGUGCUGAA